GGGGGAAUAGCUCAGCUGGGAGAGCAGUAGACUGAAGUCAAUUUCCUGAUUAGGAAAUUGUAUUCUAAAGGUCCCCGGUUCGAUCCCGGGUUUCCCCA